GAAAAAUGGGCCGAGUUGUUAGGGCACUUUCCUCUUAGUUUAGUGUGCGAUACAAAAGCGCAUCGAAGCAAAGAAAGCGAAGAAUUGCAGAAUGGAGGGAAUGGACCAACCUCAGCUCCAAAAUCAACAGCCACCACCGCAGAUGGUGGUAGUGGAGAGGCUGAACCAGGCAGUGCAGCAGCAGCUCAAUUUGGAGUCCGUAAAAACUCGAGCUAUCAGUCUCUUCAAAGCCAUCUCCCGCAUCCUUGAAGAAUUCGAUGCUUAUGCUCGGUCCAACGCCACUCCCAAAUGGCAAGAUAUUUUAGGGCAAUAUUCUAUGGUGAACCUUGAGCUUUUCAACAUUGUGGACGAGAUUAAGAAGGUUUCGAAGGCUUUUGUAGUGCAUCCGAAGAACGUUAAUGCUGAAAAUGCUACAAUCCUACCAGUUAUGCUAUCUUCAAAACUAUUGCCAGAGAUGGAAAUAGAUGACAACUCCAAGAGAGAGCAAGUGCUUCAGGGUUUGCAAAGUUUGCCGAUAUCCUCACAAAUUGAGAAGUUAAAGAAUAGAAUUGAUAUGAUUGCGGCAGCCUGUGAAAGUGCUGAAAAAGUAUUAGCUGAUACUCGCAAAGCCUAUCAAUUUGGUACCCGACAAGGGCCAACAGUUCUUCCAACUUUAGACAAGAGUCAGGCUGCUAAAAUUCAAGAACAAGAGAACUUACUUCGAGCGGCUGUAAAUUUUGGUGAAGGAGUUAGAGUGACUGGAGACCAGAGGCAGAUUACAUCUGCACUUCCAAUGCAUCUAACAGAUGCGCUUACUGGGGGGGAUGGAAUGCAUAAUUUUUCUGAUUCUUCUGGGAUGUAUAUGAAAAGCACUCCUCCUCUGUCAUCAAACAGCAUCAGUAAUCAGGGACCUUUACUACAGGUUAUAUCUCUGACUUCUUAUUGAAGAGUUUCAUUCUGAAUCACUUACAUAUUUAUUUUUGUAUAUGCAGGUAUUAAUUUGUGUAUGAAUGUGACUGGGUAUUUUGGUUUAUUUCUGUAUCUUCUGAUCCUCUCGUGCUAAAAGCUACAUGUUAUCUUAUGAUUUUAAUAUGAAAUUCCUGGUUAAUUGCAUAUAGUUUCUGUCCAAACUCAAGAUGUGUGUUUGCACAUUUUGCUCCUUUUCAUUUUUUUAUAAAGCUUAAGAUGCAGGGCUCAUCAUUUGCUUAUAUAUUGCAAAUGACAUAAUCAAACAUAGAAUGCAGUAGAUGUCUUUGUAGUAUGAAUCGUUUAUAUUGCAAGUCAUCAACCAUAAAAUGUUUUAUGGUGAAGUUGGUAGAGCUUUGACCUCUUCUUGUUUUACUUAAUGAGAAUUCAUUUAAUUUUCUUUUACAUUGGAUGAGAAGUUCACCUGUGCUGCAUCGUGCCAUUCUUUUUGUCUUAUAUUGACAUACAUGUGGCAGGCUUCAGGAACAACACUUAUGGGAAGAUCAGCUGCAUCUCCCUCUGCUGCUACAAAUGCUACUUCCUUUGACAACACUACGACUUCCCCAUUACCGUAUGCCAACUCACCAAGGUCUAGUACAAAUAUGAUGAACACGCCUUCUCCACAGCAACAAACCCAACAACAACAACAGCAACAGCAGCAGCAG
rnacentral:misc_RNA from 1 species